UACGUAGGGUGCAAGCGUUAAUCGGAAUUACUGGGCGUAAAGCGUGCGCAGGCGGUUAUGUAAGACAGGUGUGAAAUCCCCGGGCUUAACCUGGGAACUGCAUUUGUGACUGCAUAGCUAGAGUACGGUAGAGGGGGAUGGAAUUCCGCGUGUAGCAGUGAAAUGCGUAGAUAUGCGGAGGAACACCGAUGGCGAAGGCAGUCCCCUGGGCCUGCACUGACACUCAUGCACGAAAGCGUGGGGAGCAAACAGG
rnacentral:rRNA from 1 species